UUCAGAGACUAGCCUCCGCUGGCGGUCUGUCGGUGAUGUUAGUUUGGAUUAUCGGUUUGCUGACUGGAAAUCACUCAGUAAAGAUACUAUGAAGAAAUACACACCCUGUGGACCUUUGAUAGACAUCAUUGCAACCUCUGGCACACUGGAGGAAAUUCAGUUACCUCACUUCGUCUGUGUCGAUCCUACAUCUUCCUCAGACGAUACAAUGCAAGUUCUUUAUGUGAAGGACGGUGUUGUUUCAUUGGAAAGAUGUGAAUUAAGCGGACUCCAUGCUAAGCUUCUCAAUCCCACCGUCGCAUUAUUUGGAGUUGUUGCAAAUCAUCGUCACCCCCCCCUGAAAUAUUACUGUGAGACUUUGAUUUAUUGCAACAGAAAGGCUUCCCUCAACCUUCAUGUGUACCUGAUUGUAAAGGAUCAAAAACUUAAGAAGUAUGUGGAGGAGAAGGAGAAAAAUAAUAAGGAGAUUGUAAAACCAACACCAGAUGAAGGCCUAACAAUGGAUUACAGUUACACCCUGAAGACAUCUUGUGACUCCAAAAUCAAACCUCAGAGUUUAAAAUUGAGUCCCGGCAAGACCAACUUCUUUGAUUUACACAUUCAAGAUGCAAAGGAAUGUCUCGAACUCUCUAUAGAGACAAAAGAGGGCCAAAAAAUAUGGGAUGUUAAUAUAGAACCAGGUAAACAACCCACAAGGACUUGCAACAUUCUCUGCGGAUCGUCUGUUUAAUCUUUUGUGUUUUAAUUUGUUGUCUGUGUUCUUCCAGAUGAACUCAACACAAACAGUUCAGCAUGUAAGUGGCAGUACGGAUCACACAAAUCUGCAUGCUACAAACAUGCACGCAUG
rnacentral:lncRNA from 1 species